rnacentral:tRNA from 1 species
GGAAGAGGAUAGGGCCCGGUGGCCCUGCAGGUCUUCAAAACCUGUCUGUCGUCUUUAAUGGGGAUUGGUCGGUUCGACUCCGGCCCUCUUCCGCCA